rnacentral:rRNA from 1 species
CCCUUAGAUGCUCUGGGCCGCACGCGCGCUACACUGGUCGAUGCAACGAGUUUCUUUCCUUGGCCGACAGGCCUGGGCAAUCUUUGAACAUCGAUCGUGAUCGGGAUAGAUUCUUGUAAUUUUUGAUCUUAAACGAGGAAUUCCUAGUAAACGCAAGUCAUCAGCUUGCAUUGAUUACGUCCCUGCCCUUUGUACACACCGCCCGUCGCACCUACCGAUUGAAUGGUCCGGUGAAAUCUCCGGACUGGCGUGAGUCGGAGCAAUCUGACAAACACCGGAAAGUUGAUUAAACCUUACCAUCUAGAGGAAGGUGAAGUCGUAACA